rnacentral:rRNA from 1 species
AGGCCUACACAUGCAGUCGAACGGUAGCACAGGGGAGCUUGCUCCCCGGGUGACGAGUGGCGGACGGGUGAGUAAUGUCUGGGGAUCUGCCCGAUGGAGGGGGAUAACCACUGGAAACGGUGGCUAAUACCGCAUAACGUCGCAAGACCAAAGUGGGGGACCUUCGGGCCUCACACCAUCGGAUGAACCCAGAUGGGAUUAGCUAGUAGGUGGGGUAACGGCUCACCUAGGCGACGAUCCCUAGCUGGUCUGAGAGGAUGACCAGCCACACUGGAACUGAGACACGGUCCAGACUCCUACGGGAGGCAGCAGUGGGGAAUAUUGCACAAUGGGCGCAAGCCUGAUGCAGCCAUGCCGCGUGUAUGAAGAAGGCCUUCGGGUUGUAAAGUACUUUCAGCGGGGAGGAAGGGGACGGGGUUAAUAACCUCGUUCAUUGACGUUACCCGCAGAAGAAGCACCGGCUAACUCCGUGCCAGCAGGCGCGGUAAU